AUUAUGCUUAUAAUUGAGACUAAUCCCCUUUUGUUGUCCAUAUUCUGUAUUUCAGAGGUUAAACUUGGAGAGAAACACUUGUAAUAUUUCAAUAUUAGUAGCAGUCUAUUGUAGCAUCAUGCUACAUGGGAAGAUUCUCUGGAGGGUCAUUCCUAGACUUGUGAAGUUAUCUUUUAAAGGUCAUCAUCUUUUCCAGCAACAUUGACGUGAUUUCAAAGGACCUGUGCAAG
rnacentral:lncRNA from 1 species